rnacentral:lncRNA from 1 species
UUUGCUGCAUGUUUAUCAAAAUUAAAAAAAUUGCGCUAUUUACAGUUUUAUAAAAUUUGGGUCACAUAAUCUCCUUGCAAAAUGAAACAAAUUGCUGUUUUAAAAAAUAGGGGUCCAUGCACUCGUUUUCAAAUUAAAUCAGUUUGAAUGAUAAAAAUCAGUCGAAAAAUGCAUCUUUUCCCGAUAUGUCAUAGUUUGACGUCGCGAAAAUAACAUUUUACGUUAGCAACGUCAUUACCUUCCCUGUAACUGUAUCGUAUGCCCUUAAAAGUUCUGGAAUAGAAUUUCAUUUGUAACCAGAUGCUCCGCAGGGCGCAGCUUUAUACGACCGCAGAGGUUGAACCCUGAACGGUUGGGGCAAGUAUGGACACAACAUUCAAGCUGGAUUCAGCCCUAAAUUUGGAUUGUGAUUAAAUAGUUGACACAGUAUAGGUUUCUGACACAGAAUGAAUGUGGUCUAAUGAACUUAAAAUACUUUUUUUUCCUUUGAGCAAUUCACUAUGCUGUUGAAUAUUAAUCCUCUCAAAAAAAUGUUUGAAGAAAUUUUCUUUUUAUUUAUGAAAUCUGAAAUGAGAAAAAUUUACCCCCCCCCCCCAUUUUUUUUUUUCACAUCCCCCUUUCCCUUUUUCCAAAACUGAUCUCAAUUCAAAAUUUCUAAUGGAGUUUGCAACAAUAACUACUCAUUUAAAUACAUCAUAAAAUAUUAAAAUGUAACAAAAGGUGCUUGUUAUCACUGAAUGGUAAAGAUUGUUUUAAUUUAUCAGUUGGUAGUAAAAGUGAAUAUACAUUGUAUAUUGUAUAAAACAAUGAUUUUAAGUUGAUUCAACUACUAUUCUGGACAAAGAAAGAUAACUCCAAUCAAUUGAAA